rnacentral:ribozyme from 1 species
AGCUUACAAGCGAAAGAGGAUACCUUGUAUUUGUUAGAGGUCAUCCUUUUGCUUUUUUUUUGUUUCUUUCUUUCUUCUUCUUCGUGU